rnacentral:rRNA from 1 species
CAGUCGCCGCGGAAUACGUAGGGUGCAAGCGUUAAUCGGAAUUACUGGGCGUAAAGCGUGCGCAGGCGGUUUGUUAAGACAGAUGUGAAAUCCCCGGGCUCAACCUGGGAACUGCAUUUGUGACUGGCAGGCUAGAGUAUGGCAGAGGGGGGUGGAAUUCCGCGUGUAGCAGUGAAAUGCGUAGAUAUGCGGAGGAACACCGAUGGCGAAGGCAGCCCCCUGGGCCAAUACUGACGCUCAUGCACGAAAGCGUGGGGAGCAAACAGGAUUAGAUACCCCAGUAGUCCCUGUCUCUUAUACA